UAGUGAACCAGUACCGUGAGGGAAAGGUGAAAAGCACCCCGGAAGGGGAGUGAAACAGUUCCUGAAACCGUGUGCCUACAAGUAGUUAGAGCCCGUUAAUGGGUGAUAGCGUGCCUUUUGUAGAAUGAACCGGCGAGUUACGAUUUGUUGCAAGGUUAAGCGGAAAAAGCGGAGCCGUAGCGAAAGCGAGUCUGAAUAGGGCGCAUAAGUAACAGGUCGUAGACCCGAAACCAGGUGAUCUACCCAUGUCCAGGAUGAAGGUAAGGUAAUACUUACUGGAGGUCCGAACCCACGCACGUUGAAAAGUGCGGGGAUGAGGUGUGGGUAGCGGAGAAAUUCCAAUCGAACUUGGAGAUAGCUGGUUCUCUCCGAAAUAGCUUUAGGGCUAGCCUCGAGGUAAAGAGUCAUGGAGGUAGAGCACUGUUUGGACUAGGGGCCCUUCUCGGGUUACCGAAUUCAGAUAAACUCCGAAUGCCAUGUACUUAUACUCGGGAGUCAGACUGCGAGUGAUAAGAUCCGUAGUCGAAAGGGAAACAGCCCAGACCACCAGUUAAGGUCCCCAAAUAUAUGUUAAGUGGAAAAGGAUGUGGGGUUGCUUAGACAACCAGGAUGUUGGCUUAGAAGCAGCCACCAUUGAAAGAGUGCGUAAUAGCUCACUGGUCGAGUGACCCCGCGCCGAAAAUGUACCGGGGCUAAACAUAUUACCGAAACUGUGGAUGAACCUCUUUAGAGGUUCGUGGUAGGAGAGCGUUCUAAGGGCGGUGAAGUCAGACCGGAAGGACUGGUGGAGCGCUUAGAAGUGAGAAUGCCGGUAUGAGUAGCGAAAGAAGGGUGAGAAUCCCUUCCACCGAAUAUCUAAGGUUUCCUGAGGAAGGCUCGUCCGCUCAGGGUUAGUCGGGACCUAAGCCGAGGCCGAUAGGCGUAGGCGAUGGACAACAGGUAGAGAUUCCUGUACCAGUGCUAAUUGUUUAACCGAUGGGGUGACACAGAAGGAUAGGGAAUCGCACGAAUGGAAAUGUGCGUCCAAGCAGUGAGUGUGAGAAGUAGGCAAAUCCGCUUCUCGCGAAGCAUGAGCUGUGAUGGGGAAGGAAAUUAAGUACGGAAGUUCCUGAUUUCACGCUGUCAAGAAAAGCCUCUAGGAAGAGUAGUACUGCCCGUACCGCAAACCGACACAGGUAGAUGAGGAGAGAAUCCUAAGGUGAGCGAGAGAACGCUCGUUAAGGAACUCGGCAAAAUGACCCCGUAACUUCGGGAGAAGGGGUGCUCUAUUAGGGUGCAAGCCCGAGAGAGCCGCAGUGAAUAGGCCCAGGCGACUGUUUAGCAAAAACACAGGUCUCUGCAAAAC
rnacentral:rRNA from 1 species